UGGGGAAUCUUGCACAAUGGGCGAAAGCCUGAUGCAGCAACGCCGCGUGCGGGAAGACAGCCCUAGGGUUGUAAACCGCUUUCAGCAGGGAAGAAACUGACGGUACCUGCAGAAGAAGAUGCGGCCAACUACGUGCCAGCAGCCGCGGUGACACGUAGGCAUCAAGCGUUAUCCGGAUUUAUUGGGCGUAAAGAGCUCGUAGGCGGUUCGGUAAGUCGGGUGUGAAAACUCUGGGCUCAACCCAGAGAGGCCACUCGAUACUGCUGUGACUAGAGUGCGGUAGGGGAGCGGGGAAUUCCUGGUGUAGCGGUGAAAUGCGCAGAUAUCAGGAGGAACACCAGUGGCGAAGGCGCCGCUCUGGGCCGUAACUGACGCUGAGGAGCGAAAAGCAUGGGUAGCAAACAGGAUUAGAUACCCUGGUAGUCCAUGCCGUAAAACGUUGGGCACUAGGUGUGGGUCUCAACCGAACGAGAUCCGCGCCGUCGCUAACGCAUUAAGUGCCCGCCUGGGAGUACGGUCGCAAGACU
rnacentral:rRNA from 1 species